UUACAGCCCAAUCAAACUGUGAAUAUUGGAGGCAUGUGUUAAAGCUUUGAGUGAUUGUAAACCUAGAAAGAACACUGGCAAUCUUUGCAUACUCAGCUUGAUGUUAACACAGCGGUAUCAAACUGCAGGCCCGCAGACCAGCUGCAUCAUACGAAGGCCCCGCCCAUCCCAGCUCCGGCAAUGCAAAAAAAAUGUAAGAAGCUUCAGGUGGCUGAGCAAAUGAGACUGAGAAGAAAGAAGAUAAAACCUUCUAGCACAAUUUUAGAAGACUUGACUUGCAUCCAGAUAUAGCCACACAUGUUUUGAUCCCUAUAAAAUCACAUUCCAUUUGAUUUCCUUUGAGCUUUUAUGCACAUGCCAAUCCUUAGGUGAUGAAAAUCAGCCUA